rnacentral:rRNA from 1 species
CGAACGGAGCUCUUGUGGAUUUCCCUUCGGGGUUUGAAGCUUGNNCUUAGUGGCGAACGGGUGAGUAACNCGUGCNCANNCUGCCUUUCANUGGGGGACAACAGUUGGAAACGACUGCUAAUACCGCAUAACAUCCUUUUGGGGCAUCCCUUUUGGAUCAAAGAUUUAUUGCUGAAAGAUGGGCUCGCGUCUGAUUAGCUAGUUGGUGGGGUAACGGCCUACCAAGGCGACGAUCAUAGCCGGACUGAGAGGUUGAUCGGCCACCUUGGGACUGAGAUACGGCCCAAACUCCUACGGGAGGCAGCGUGGGGAAUAUUGGGCAAUGGGGGAAACCCUGACCCAGCAACGC